rnacentral:rRNA from 1 species
UACGGGGGGGGCAAGCGUUGUUCGGAAUUACUGGGCGUAAAGGGCUCGUAGGUGGCCAACUAAGUCAUACGUGAAAUCCCUCGGCUUAACCGGGGAACUGCGUCUGAUACUGGAUGGCUUGAGGUUGGGAGAGGGAUGCGGAAUUCCAGGUGUAGCGGUGAAAUGCGCAGAUAUCAGGAAGAACACCUAUGGCGAAGGCAGCUCUCUGGGACGGUACUGACGCUGAGACGCGAAAGCGUGGGGAGCGAACAGG